UACGGACAUAUCACUUUCAAAGACCGGUUCUCGUCCGAUCACUAAAGUUAAGUAACGUCGAACAUGGGCAUUACCUAGAUGGGUGACCGCUUGGGAAUACCAGGUGUUAUA